GACGAACCGUGCAAACGUUGUUCGGAAUCACUGGGCUUAAAGGGCGCGUAGGCGGGCCAGCCAGUCUGUGGUGAAAGCCUCCAGCUUAACUGGAGAAGUGCCGUGGAUACUGCUGGCCUCGAGGAGGAUAGGGGCAUCUGGAACGGUCGGUGGAGCGGUGAAAUGCGUUGAUAUCGACCGGAACUCCGGUGGCGAAGGCGGUUCUCUGGGCAUGACCUGACGCUGAGGAGCGAAAGUGUGGGGAGCGAACAGG
rnacentral:rRNA from 1 species